UUUGGUUUUCUUCAUGACAUCGCUCGAGGCAAAAACACAUCUUCGAGCAGCAUUUAUAACCCAGAUUCGGACAGUAUUUAUAAAACAAUGGUUCCAGAGAUGGCCGUCGAUGACAGCAACUCCACGAUAUUCCAUUCCGUAAAUGAAAUCCGUCCUUGGUGGCUGAUCGAUCUGGGAAUCGGAACGGGUGUUUUACCAUAUCUGAUUCUGAGUCGCCAAGAUUCCUAUCCAGAAAGGCUACAUGACCUUGAGAUUCGCCUGGGAAACUGCUUGGAGACGCCUGGAAACUUCUCUUCUUUUGAUCUCCUAAAUUUUUUCAAAGGACCUUACAAAAAGGAAGACGGAUUCCUUAUGUAUACCUUUCCCAAGGGUGUUAAGGGAAGAUACUUAAGUCUACAGAUUGUUGCAGAUAAGGAAGAAUUUCUACAGCUUGACACUGUCAAAGUGAUCGGUUUAAGGAACUAAGUAGCUAUCUUACUGGCCACAAUUCUUUUCUUCAAAUAUUGUGAAGUUUUUGAAGUCCUUGAAUACGGUUUCAGCUAAUUGAAAUAUGAUACAAAGUUUUCUGUAUUACGUAUCUCUCAAUAAAUUCAUGAAGCAGCAAAUCUAAGUUAAUUUAAGCAUUCUAUAUAUAUGUGUAAUGGUAAUGUGAGUUGAUUAUGUCUUAGGAUAUUUUUUGAAUGCACCUAUAACAGAGUUAACAGUUAUUUUCGAGUUCAUAGUCCCAUAUUCGUCAGGUACGGA